rnacentral:rRNA from 1 species
CCCUGCCAUUUGUACACACCGCCCGUCGCACCUACCGAUUGGACGAUCCGGCGAGAUGUUUGGAGUUGCGUUUGUUGGGGUAACUCGACUUACGCGAUGAAACUCAUCAAACCUUAUCGUCUAGAGGAAGGUGA